UACGAGGGGAGCAAGCGUUGUUCGGAUUUACUGGGCGUAAAGGGCGCGUAGGCGGCGUGACAAGUCACUUGUGAAAUCUCCGGGCUUAACUCGGAACGGUCAAGUGAUACUGUCGUGCUAGAGUACAGAAGGGGCAACUGGAAUUCUCGGUGUAGCGGUGAAAUGCGUAGAUAUCGAGAGGAACACCUGCGGCGAAGGCGGGUUGCUGGGCUGAUACUGACGCUGAGGCGCGAAAGCGUGGGGAGCGAACAGG
rnacentral:rRNA from 1 species